GAUAGCCUAGGAGAUACACCUGUACCCAUGCCGAACACAGCAGUUAAGCCCUAGAACGCCUGAAGUAGUUGGGGGUUGCCCCCUGUUAGAUACGGUAGUCGCUUAGC
rnacentral:rRNA from 1 species